rnacentral:lncRNA from 1 species
UUCAAGACGGCGUGCUCAAACCGGUCGGUUUAGGUUUCCUCCGGUUCGAGUUCUUCAACGAUGGGUUAGCCGACGAUGACGAAAAAAGAACCAACUUCCAAGCCUUCCGACCACACCUUGAACUUGUCGGAAAACGGGAGAUCAAGAACCUCAUCAGGAGAUACGAGCAAGAGGAAAAGCAACCUGUGAGGUGUCUUAUAAACAACGCUUUUGUGCCGUGGGUGUGUGACGUGGCUGAUGAGCUUCAUAUCCCUUCGGCUGUUCUAUGGGUCCAGUCUUGCGCUUGUCUCACCGCUUAUUAUUAUUACCACCACCGGCUAGUUAAGUUCCCGACCAAAACUGAGCCGGAGAUUAACGUUGAAAUCCCAAGCUUACCUUUGUUGAAGCAUGGCGAGAUCCCAAGCUUCCUUCACCCUUCAUCUCCCUUUGCAGCUUAUGGAGAAGUCAUUUUAGACCAGCUCAAGCGACUUGUAAGCCACAAGCCUCUCUUUGUUUUCAUAGACACUUUUCAAGAACUCGAAAAAGAGAUCGUCGACCACAUGUCUAACCUCUGUCCUCAAGUCAAGUUUAGCCCUCUCGGUCCUCUCUUCAAGAUGGCUCAAACUAUAAGCUCUGACGUUAAGGGAGACAUCUCCGCGCCAGCGAGUGACUGCAUGGAGUGGCUCGACUCGAGAGAACCAUCCUCAGUCGUUUAUAUCUCCUUUGGCACUAUAGUCCACUUGAAGCAAGAGCAGUUCGAGGAGAUCGCUCAUGGUGUUUUGAGCUCUGGUUUGUCCUUCUUAUGGGUGGUCCGGCCUCCUAUGGAAGGUUCAAGUGUGAAACCAUAUGUAUUGCCUCGUGAGCUUGAAGAGAAAGGGAAAAUCGUUGAAUGGUGUUCACAAGAGAGAGUGUUGGCUCAUCCUGCGGUUGCUUGCUUCUUAAGUCACUGCGGAUGGAACUCGACAAUGGAGGCUUUGUCUUCGGGAGUUCCCAUGGUCUGUUUUCCGAUGUGGGGAGAUCAGGUGACUGAUGCUGUGUACUUGGUUGAUGUUUUCAAGACAGGAGUGAGACUUGGCCGCGGAGCGGCUGAGGAGAAGAUUGUUCCGAGGGAGGUUGUGUCGGAGAAGUUGCUUGAGGCCACCGUUGGGAAAAAGGCGGUGGAGAUUAGAGAAAGCGCACGGAGGUGGAAGGAAGAAGCGGAGGCAGCCGUGGCGUUCGGUGGAUCAUCGGAUAGGAAGUUUCAAGAGUUUGUGGACGAGUUGAUUACGAAAUCUGUUGCGAGAAAAGACAACGGAGAAUACUCAUGAUGAUGUCACGUAAUAGUCCAAAUUGUUGAUGUAACUCCGAAACCUAGACACCACUACGGUAUGUCAGUAUUCAUAUUAUCUUUUUUCUUUUUCCUUUUGGGUAAAUAACACAUCAAAUCCCAUCUCAUGCUCUAGUGAUGUCGAUCUAUCAAUUUUUACAUUCUAUUUCAUCACUUCGAGCCACAAGCACUUAGAUUUUUAAAACCAUUUUGAUGCAUUAAACUAAUGUCGCCAUAUGGCUUUAAGGUCAUUUAGUAUUGGGCAAUUAUCAAUAAUAGUACAUUUUGAGUUUUUGUCUCAAAAUAGCAUUAGAAGGAGAAAGUCACAAAAAUGACAUUCAUUUAAAGAGUAAAAUAUCUCUAAUACCAUUAGUUUAGAAUUAAAUAAACAAAAAAAAAUAAAAUAAAAAAUAAAAUAAAAAAAAUGGAAAAAAAUAAAACUUUUUUGUAUAGUUUCAGAUUAUAUGUUUUCAGAUUCGAAAUUUUUUAUAAUUUUUUUUGAAAUUAUUUUUUUCGAAUUUUAUUUUUAUUUUUUUUUCAAAUUUUCUUUUUAUAAUUCAAAAAUAAUUUUUGAAACUGUUUUUAAAAUUUAUAUUUUUAAUUUUUUAGUAUUUAUUUUUUAUUUUAUAAAAUUUUAAACCCUAAUUCCAAAACCCACUCCUUAACUCUAAACCCUAAGGUUUGGAUUAAUUAACCCAAAGGGUAUAAGUGUAUAUUUAUUUACCUCUUUAAUGAAAUAUAUUUUUGUGACUUUGAGCUUUGAUUGCUAGUUUAGGAACAAAAACUUGGUUUGAUGCUAUCCUAGUAUUUUUCUCUAUAAAAUAACUUCUUAUUCAUUAAUCUUUGUUUUUUUACUAAUCAAAAAUUAUGUCAUAAAAAAACUUUUGGAAACUUAUAAUAAAAUUUAUAGAAUCAACACAAUCUCAAUAAUCUUCUAAGAUUAUACAAUAUCAAGACUUUGAUAUUCAAACUAUUUAAAAUAAAAAGAUUAUUGCCAGCUUGUCUCAGACGGAGACGUAUGCAAAGCUUCUAUUUAAUCCGAAAAUUGAGAUAGAUGGAGAGACGAACAUAAGAAUAUAUAUAGCAGAAAAGAUUAGAUAGGAAUUAUCGAAAUUGAAGGUUUUAAAGAACAAGGAUAGGUUUCAACUUGUCUGACAAUAAACUUUACGUGUAACUAUAGUUAAUCCGAAAAUUGAAAAAAGAAAACAAAAAAGACCGAUAAAUUACUAUAGGGUUAAAAUCGUCCAAUAAAUAUCGAUAAUAACGGAGAAGUAAGUCGAUGGGUAUUGAGCUAAAUAGGGUAAAGUGCUAAUGUGUGGAGUGCAAUUUCUCAAAAUAAAAUCAGUUUCUACUUUCUAGUUUCCAUAAGGAAAAUAAAAAUCGAUGGAACCGUCUCUUGAGCAUGUGAUGCUCGUAUCUUUCCCAGGCCAAGGGCACAUAAACCCUCUACUUCGUCUCGGAAAGCUCAUAGCUUCGAAAGGCCUACUGGUCACCUUUGUCACCACAGAGCAGCCAUGGGGAGAGAAGAUGCGUCAAGCCAACAAGAUUCAAGACGGCGUGCUCAAACCGGUCGGUUUAGGUUUCCUCCGGUUCGAGUUCUUCAACGAUGGGUUAGCCGACGAUGACGAAAAAAGAACCAACUUCCAAGCCUUCCGACCACACCUUGAACUUGUCGGAAAACGGGAGAUCAAGAACCUCAUCAGGAGAUACGAGCAAGAGGAAAAGCAACCUGUGAGGUGUCUUAUAAACAACGCUUUUGUGCCGUGGGUGUGUGACGUGGCUGAUGAGCUUCAUAUCCCUUCGGCUGUUCUAUGGGUCCAGUCUUGCGCUUGUCUCACCGCUUAUUAUUAUUACCACCACCGGCUAGUUAAGUUCCCG